rnacentral:tRNA from 3 species
GUUCUUGUAGUUAAAAUCGAAUAACGGCGGCUUUUCAGGUCGCAGAUCCCGGAGGAAGGCCGGGCGGGAAUU